GGAGUCCCAGGGAGGCCGCGAGGAGCCUGCCCCUCGGCCAGGAAGUGACCGCUGUCUGCGUCGCGGCCCUUAAGGACAACCCCUGGGCGGCAACCAUCUUCCUCCACCCAGGAGAUCAAUUUCUUUGUUGAGGUUCCACCUAAGGCUGUAGCACUCACUCACUGAGGUUCCUAAGAAACCUGCCUGUCCUAGGAAACCUCCUACUGAGACCUGCCCCGCACUGCCACCUGGUGGACACCUGGAACCAGCGUACAGUUCACUGUUAGCAACUGGAUAGAAUCGCAUGGCAGGAAUUUAGAAGAGGAGCUUAAUCUCUGAGUCCACAUUCCUUCCCCUGGGCCUCAUUUUCCUACCUUAUUUUAUAUUUAGUUUUCUGAUGAUGUUCAGGACAUCCUUCCAGCCACCUUAACUCUCCUCUUUGUAAGGGACAGGAGGGACAAAGCAAGGUUAUACAUUCAGAAAGAGCUUGCCUACCUUCUGCAAGUCUCAGUUUCCUCCCCUAUAAAGUGGGCACAAGAAUCCCUGCCUUGGAGGGUUUUGUGUGUGUUUCAGGAGAUGCUGGAUUAAUAUUAGUGUCCACCCUAUUUCCCACCUCCCCAUCCUCCAGGCUCUCUGCCAGUUAUGUGAUGCAGGCUAGGAUGCAAAGGAGAUCAACAGCACAGAUCACUUUUUCCCCAGUGCCAUUUGUGCUCUGCAGGCCCAGUGGGUGCCCCUACUAGAGCCUUGUACCCUGAGCCCAGUCCCUACCUGCCUUCUGGAAGAUGUUGGCUCCAGAAUUCUCUGCCUCCCUCCUGCAGGCAUUGUGGCAUUCACAGCUGAUUUGCAGAGAGCCCAGAUGCAUCUCAUAAAUAAGGAAUGUACUGUUCUGCAGGACGGCUGUGGCGUGGCUGUGUGGGGGUGGGCAGGCUGGAGUAGACAGGAACCACGAGAGGCAGGGAGGACUGUACAGGGGUUGCUGACCAGGUGGAAGAUGAUGGGAGCCUCAGAAGGUGUCGUGGGACAGGGUCAGGGAGAGGGCUCUAUGCGGCCAGGAUCUGGAUGCAGAUUGUUGAGACUGAAAUUUGGCUCAGAUCCCUUCUAGUUGUGUCUGUUUAUCUUCAGUUUCCUUGUCUAUAAAAUGGGGAGAGAUUGUGUGUCCCCGGCAUCACUGGACUGUUAAUAGCUAUUGCAUUUAUAGCAUUUAUCCCAGAACCUGAAACACAGUAAAUGCUCAGUAAGUGUUAUUAUUUGCCCCAAACUGUCUUAGUGCUUUCCCCAAGAGCUUUGUGUUGUUUGUACUAUGAGGAAUAAUGAGGGUGGUGUGGGAGUCGGCCUCUGUGUCUGCAGAGAGGACCACAGGCCACAGGAAUAGAGACAGGUAGAUAGGAUCAAGGUGACAGGAACAGAUGUUCAGAGCAAGAGAUGAAGACGGCAUCAUCAACCCAGACAAGCCAGGUAAGUCCCUGAAAGGGGACUGCAUUUCUGCAGCCCUUUCAAGGUGGGCACUUGAGACAUUUGAUUGGCUUUUAAAGGAAAGACUGACCUUUAGAAGGCAUAAGCAGCUGGGGUCCCUGGAGACCCUGGGAUGACACCGUCAGCAUGGCUGUAUUGAAACGGAGACCUCAGGCAAGCCACCUUUCUUCUCUGGGUCUCUGUUCCAUCUAUAAAGUGCUUUCUGAGAAGCCCUCCAGAACCGCAGCAUUGGAAGCUUCAAGAUUUAGUCAUUCUUCUGGCAAACAUAUGUGGAAGGCCUCCGGGGUAGCACACCCUUCACCGUGCCCUGGAGAUGCUGGGAUGCGACAAAAAAGUAGGCUUCUCCCAUGAUGAACCUCACGGGUUAGUUGUGGGGGCGGCGGGGACGUGGGGGGUGGAGAGAGAGAGAGAGAGAGAGAGAGAGAGAGAGAGAGAGAGAGAGAGAGAGAUUGUGUACAACAGAAAAGCAAAUGGAUAUGUAAUUCUAAACUGAAAUCAGCCCCAGAAGGAGCGGGGCCCCAGUCAAUCCAGGGACCUAAAAGUCAGGGAAGGUUCCCUGAAGACCAUGAGGCUGGGCUGCUCCUG
rnacentral:lncRNA from 1 species